CUUCUCACGGUGGCAUUUUAUUAAGAUUCUUAAAGAUAAACAGACAUGCAUGCAUGAUGUAUAAUCAUCCAUGUUGACAAACAUUAUUCAUAGGUCAAAUACAUCGUCAUCCUCCUAAACUUGAUACAAACUUUCACCUUGACUCUUCAAGUAGACGUUCUUCACUUUAAACACCUUAUGUAGGCUUUCGUUGUGUCAUUUGACACCUUGCAAUCAGCUAAAAGUACAAAGAGAUCAUAAUACACUCGCCAAUAACAUGACAUCUUGACUAAUUAAAAGAGUACAUGUGACAUUUGAGUGAAAAAUAGUAGUUUUAUAUAAAUUUUAAGCAAAAAAAUAAAAACGUAGCACAACCCCUCCCCGUGGUUGUCCGCUCCAACAUACCCAAGACUUCAUUUUUUUUUAUAGAAACCAACCCUUCACCCCAGUCUGAUGUCGUCUUUUCCAUGAUACCCCAAAUGACUUAUUUAAAGUUUUCUUAAAAUCACUUCUGACAAUAACUCAAAAUGUACAAAAAAAAUAGAAAUUAUUCUUCUUCUCCUUCAUAAGCAUCGUAUAUCAACUUCAAUGGCGCCCUCACAUUCCAUCCCACAAAGUUGUACCUAUAAAAUAUUCUCAAUUCCAAAUCUAACACCAAAUUCUUUUCACAAUUAGAGUCCACAUUGAAAUUAUUGAUGAAGACAUCAUCAUGAAAUCGUAGCGAUCUGAAUUCGGGUCAAAAACCAAAUCCUUUUUGCAAUUGGAUUCCAUAUUGGAAUCAUCUACAAAGUCAUCAUCAUGAAACUUGGUAUGAAAAAAGACAAAAUUUGAUAUAAAAAUGGGCAGUGGAAUUCAAAGUUCUCGGAUAAAAGAUUGUGUAUUUUCAUUGAGAAUUUUGUAAUUAUAAAUUAAUUCUUGUCAAGAAAACUUAUUUGGGUAUGAUCCGAUUUUUGUGUAUGAUUUCUCUGAUUUUGAAAUUAUUUUUUUGAGCAUGAUUCAAUUUUCCAUAUGAAUUUUAUAUGAUUUAAUUUUUGAGUAAAUUGUUCUUUUCUUUGUAUGCUAAAAUUAAGAUUACAGACUAAUUCUUA
rnacentral:lncRNA from 1 species